ACCGAUGAUGACACUUUCUAGGGCGUUUCUCAAAACAUUCGCAGUGCCCACUCUAGAGCUUUCGCCUUGCCGGGCUUGAGAGCUGAUGCAGCUUUAUCCUUCCUUGGAUGUCUGACGGU
rnacentral:snoRNA from 1 species